AUUGAACGCUAGCGGGAUGCCUUACACAUGCAAGUCGAACGGAGUGGCGAACGGGUGUGUAAUGUAUCGGACCGUGCCCAGUAGCGGGGGCUAACUACGCGAAAUCGUAGCUAAUACCGCAUACUAUUGGAGCGGCCGAUAUCGUAUUAUCUAGUUGGUGGUGUAACGGCUCACCAAGGCGACGAUGCGUAGCUGGUUUGAGAGGACGACCAGCCAAAAUGGGACUGUGAAAGGGCCCAGACUCCUACGAGAGGCAGCAGUGGGGAAUUUUGGACAAUGGGGGAAACCCUGAUCCAGCCAUCACGCGUGUGCGAGGAAGGCCUUCGGUUUGUAAAGCACUUUUGGAAGGGAAGCGGUACCUGCAGAAUAAGCACCGGAUAACUACGUGCCAGCAGCAGCGGUAAUUC
rnacentral:rRNA from 1 species